CGGGGCUCUGAGGCUCCAGCCUGACCUCUCCACGGGGUCGACGGGAACCUCUCCGGAUGCCAGGAGUCACAAAGGGCCGACCAGGAUGAGGAAACACCAGGCGGAGUCCGGAGGAAGCAGCACCGCAUCCCAGCCCCAGGCCUUCCCGGACGGUGUUGGUUGGGAGUGCAGUGAAUAGAAGACACUUCUCUGCACCCCAAAAGCUCCAUGCUGAUUGCGAGAAGGAAAUGCUGGAUGGAGGGGUUCCUGGAACUACUGUGAGGGAAAUGGUAACAGAACUUUGGAUGUGGAACGUGCAGUAGGAGUUACACGAAGUGCGGGUCUGCACUUGGGGUGGUCAGCACGGCGGAUGCCCAGCAAAGGCACUGCCUGGUCCACAUCCCGGAGUGGUCUCUACGCCCCAGUCGGCAUCGCAGCUGAUGGUGAAACUUUUGGUGUGGCAGAAGAGUGUCCACAAACUUUGGAAGUUGCUAGAGAAAAAUGAAACGACUAGUUUUGAAAGCCUUACUUCUGCCAAUGGAAGCACAUUCCAGCAUGUCGCCAACGCAAUCCAUUUUCCACCACUUUCACAAGAAAAGUUACGGCACAAUUAUACUAUCCUACCCUUAUAUACUUUUUGUGCAUGUG
rnacentral:lncRNA from 1 species